UGUUUUAUCUAUUGAGCAUCUCCAUAACACUCUCCCCUUACGUUGUGUUUUUUCUUUCUGUCAACUCUUCUUUUGAGAAGAAAAAUUCCAUAUACCCUUUUAACCUAGUGCACUCUCUUCUAUAUUGCAGUCACAUCUCACUCUUAAAUCUCUCAUAUUUUUUCUUCAAACUCAGACUAUUCGUCCUGUGACUAAGAAGAGGGUGGGUUCCACUUGGUACUACCAUAGAGCCUAUAGUGCCAACGAUGUUUAGUACUGAUGAUUACUUGGGGAUCCCUUAAGAGAGAAUAAAGACAUACAACUGCUGGGAGGAUUCCCUUAGUACUUUUCUUAUCACAUACCUACUCCAUCCAUUCGGUAUGUUGGUGGUCCCUUGAUUUUUAUAUGGAUCAUAGAGAGGAUCACCUCCCACGUGCUUGGUUUAAUAUUCCUAUACACUUUGCUAUUUAUCUUGGACUUGGGUGAUCUAAUAGAUGUCGUCAUUAUCUUAUUUUGCAAACUUUCCAGCUAAGCAUGGGGAAACUCAGUCUCGACCUGUGGAAGUCCAUGGCUUGCCUCAGAAUCCUAGACAACUUGUCUGGUUUUGAGUUCACUAUCACGCACCUCUUUUUACUUAUUUAUCUGAGACUAACCCAGAGUUUAUUCGAACUGGAGCCCCGCAUCCCCGGCUUCAUCCAAGGCGAUUAGAUGGUGGCUACUGACGAAUACACUUUUCAGUUUAACCAGACCCUUCAAUGAAUGGGUUUUGAGAAUUUUUUCAUCGGGUUCUUUGUUCAGAGCGGAUCUUUUCAUUGUCUCAUCCACUGUUUAAAUUCACCCACACUUGAGGGCCCCCCAGGUUCCACUUGUACCUCAAACUGUAGAGGUGAUCUCGAUUGCCUAAAUGAAUACUCAAUAUUGUAAAAUAGGCUCAAAACCCAGUCACAGCCCUUGCCCUUCAAGAGGGAAAAUACCAUCCACAGAGGUGGUGGUGAUAAAUGAAUCGCAUAAGGCUGACUACUAGCCACCCAAGAACAAAUCUAAGAGAACGAGCUGUGGUAGUAGCUCUUCAAUUCAUUAUCACGAAGCGCCUACUACUGGUUUGGAGGCCACUCUUGGGACCUCCUUUAGUCCCUUGUGUCGACUGCCUAGCGAGAGUCCUAUUUAAAGGUUUGGAGUUUCAUCUAAUAAGAGGAAUUCUACUUCCUUGGGCCAGCCUACCAUCGAUCAUUGUAUGCUUAGUAUUUAUUUUUUGGAUCGAUGGGUGAGCCUUCGGCAUCUUAGAUAGUUUACUUGUCCAUUCUCUCAAACGUGAAUUUCCUGUCCAGGCUAGCCAAAUUAGAUAGCUAUUUCAAUACUAUGGUUUCACCUGGUGAUCAAGAGAGGUUGGCGUUAUUCCAUCAAAAAGCUUGACUAAUGACAUUGCCGAUGCCUCAACCUAGGGGAGAUAGCCCUACUUCUAUUUUUUAAACAACUGGCUUCUUUUGUAUUUUAUCAUUAUAUAUUUCCCCUAUUAACCUUUUCAGCUACGAAGAGUAUGAAAUAGUGGUAGAAAAAAAUCAAACUUUAGUCACAUUAUCCCAUGCUAUAAGAAAAUAUGAAGCUAUGAGUGAUCAAUCCUCAUUGGUUGAGUUCCUUACAUGAUGUAACUUUUAGAUCAAUGACCUAAAGCUUUGAAUAGAGAAGGCUAAACUAGAUAUGUAAGCCUUUUGCAUAGAUUCCCAUGAAAUACUUUUAGAAAUUAAGAAGAAAGAUUAAGAGCAAAUGGCACAAUUAGAGUUGAUCGAGGGGCUGCUCCACCAAUAAAGAGAGUUACAGGCAAGUCUUUGUAGGAAUCUCUGAGGUGCCAUCUCCAUUCCUUCGGAUGAGGUUGGCCAUUCUCACCUUAUUAAAGUAUCGAAUUAGGCUGAGCAUCAUCAACUUUGGGAGAAGAUCUAGUUAUUUAUGGUAACAUACUUAGGUGGUUGAUUUUAAAUCUCUAUUAAGAUGAUGAUUGAGAGCCAACUUACUUGGAUUAAUAUCCUAAAGGAGGUGAGGUCUGGUCGACCUCAUACAUCUCAAUAUUCUCCAGUAUAGGAUCAUUUAGCUGUAAUACCCCGAGUCUGUACCCCGGACGCUACACGGUGCUAGCGACCCCAAAGGACCACCAGCUAACUCAUGACUAGUACCUGCUGUGAACAAUGAAUAAUAAUAUCAUUGUAGUAAUAAUAAUACUAAAGUAAAUGCGGAAGUUAGGCUGAAUACGCCAUAAGGUUCAUAACUAAGAACAAAUACUGAUAACUAAAAACAACUGUCUAAAAUACUCUAGUCUACUAUAAAAGCCUCUAAUUGUCUGAAUAUGGAGUUGAUGGGACAAGUCCCCAACUAACUCCAAUUACUGAACAUAACGAACAACUAAAAUACUGAAAUGAUAAAUUUAUCCUCAGGCUAUGAGGAUUUACCACUAGAUCUGCUGCUGAUAGUCUGGGCUGCUAAGUAUGGUCAGGAGCCCUUGCAUCUGAACCUGUGAUAUAAGACAUCAUAGUGCAAAAAAAAAGUAUGCGUCAGUACUUUGAAUGUACUUAUAUGCUAAGUGAGGUAGGCUGAUAUACAGAGAUUCAUAUGCCUGAACAAUACUGGCUGAGUAACAUGAACGUAACUAAAUAAGAAUACAUGCAUGAAUACAUAAACUGUAACUAAGAUUACGAUAACACUGGAUAGUGAGUUCCGGAUACUAAUCAACUAGAAUCUAAGUUUACUGAUGUGGUAUUACUGAUAGCUGAAUGACUAUUUUUUGAUAGUCCUAAUUUUGUAGAACUGAACUGAGUUCUGUACGGAGACAGAAACUAUGGGAAAUAAUCAUCUAAUCGACAUGCCCCUCUCCGAAUGGAUUGGGGUCCAACCUGUAACCCAGUUGGAAGGGUGUGAGUACCGUUCCACGGGUAAAGACAAGCUGUGAGUUAACCUUCUCUAACAGGAAGACAUUUUGUCAACCCUCGCUGGCAGGAAAACUCACAUGAGAUGUAUUAAUCCUAGUUUGGCAGAAAGAUAUCUCAACCUAUGAUCUCUAUGUAGUUCUGUAAAAUAGGGAUUGCUUCUAGGGGUCAUACCCUACACUGGUAGGAAUGCCGCCAUCCCUGGGUUUGCUUGGUAAUGAAUCCUACUCCCAACUGAAGAGACACUAAACUGAUUUCUAAACUAUACUAGGCCAGACUGAACUGUCACUGAGUUUACUGGGUUCCGCUGACUGACUGGGUAAAGGAAAAUGACUCAUUUGCCCUUAAAAAUGCGGAUCUAGACUACAGAAAAAUGCAUAGGCCGAAUUGAACAGGGCACCACGGGCUCUGGAGCACCGCUCUAGAUGAGGCGCCGCGGGCUUUGGAGCGCCACUCUGGGCAGGGUAGCACGGGCAUAUCGCUUUGAGCUACUAUUUCUAAAAACCAAACAUUCCCUUACACUAAUCCAAAAAUUUUGAAACUCAUCCGAGAUGUACUAUUAACUUCCCCAAUCAUGAAUCAACAAAAAAAUUAACUUUCCAAGUUCGAAAAGUUUGUGAAUAAAUUCCUCAAAGUUUGAGGGCUUUAGAAAUGACUAAGUCUUAAUAUUUAGCUAACAUUUUCUAAGUCUGGGACCUCUUUUGGCAUGUUUUAAAGGAUUCAAAUGACUAGAAUUUUAUGGGGUCUUACAAUAUCUCCCCCUUGGGAACAUUCAUCCUCGAAUGAGACUGGUUAGGCUGAGAAUCACUGAUAGACUGAGUUUAAACACUACACAUGCAUAACUGAAGUAUGACUACAUGACUGAAUUACUGGAAAGCUAAGUUCCCAUACUAAACAUGAAUAUCUGAUGUAUAAGUGCGGGACUGAACUGAUUCAUGAAUGCAUGACUGAAUAUGCAACGGUAAAGAAUACAAAGAUUAUAAAUGUAGCUAAAUAUGGAACUAAAUAAUUCUAAGAAAGAUUAUUACCUUAAGAUGAAUCUGAUUUUACGAAGAAGAGGUGAGGAUACUUGAUCCGCAUAUCUACUUUUGCUUCCCAAGUGGCUGUAAUACCCUGAUCGUUCCUUAAGCCUGAAUCCAUCUUUUAAAGUGAAUGUAGACGAAUUUCAAGGUGAAUGAUGUUUAAACCAUAUUGUGUUUCUUUAAUUUCUACUUUCUAUCACGUGAAUAUUUGAAUAAGCUUUUCGUCGAUACCAAAUUCACCCAAAUCCGACCCUCGGGUGAAGAGUUAGAACCAUUUUAGUGAGACAGUGUACCAACUGGCACUUUAGUGCGUUACAGAGCCAGCCAAAAUGGCAAUUGUCAUUUUCUAGUGAGCGUCCAUGAUAUUGGCAUGUCGCUCCAAGGCUCAAUAUUAGGAUUGUCAAAUUCCAGUGCACCAACGCGAUUCCACCACAUCGCGGUGCCCUUCCAGGUCACGACCAAGGUGACAACGCGAUUUCACCGCGUCGCGCCGCUGAGCAGUUUUCCAAUUGUCAAAAUCUAGUGAAGGUCCGCAAUUAUGGCCCGUCGCGCCAAGGCCAAAACUCGGGCUUCAGUUCUAGAAUUUUCUCAAGGGUAUUUUGGUCAUUUUCAUCCAUUUUGACCUCUACAUAUAUAUCCAAGUAGGGAAGAGCAAUUCAUUUUCUCUCCAAUCUCUUCCAAGAAAAUUUAGUUCUAGAGCUCGGGUUUCUCUCCUUCAAUUCCAAAUCCAAAUCUUCUCCAAGAAAAUUCAAGAAUCUUUCAUAUAUUUCAUCGAGUUGUUCAAGAAUCAAGUUCUCUAAGUCAAAGGUAUCAAGAAACUUAGCUC